UUGAAAAGGAAUGAAAUUCUGCUCUUUUCCCUGUGGGGUCCUGGUGUGCAGUGUCUGCAAACAGCAGCCUCCUUGGUAGUUAGUGUAUGCAGCCUGUGGCCUCUGUGUGUUGCCAUAAGGAAGCCUGGAGUCAGCC
ensembl:snoRNA SNORA70 Small nucleolar RNA SNORA70